UACGUAGGGGGCUAGCGUUGUCCGGAUUUAUUGGGCGUAAAGAGCGUGUAGGCGGCCAGACAAGUCUGCUGUGAAAACUCGAGGCUCAACCUCGAGCUGUCGGCGGAAACUGUCUGGCUAGAGUCCGGAAGAGGAGAGUGGAAUUCCUGGUGUAGCGGUGAAAUGCGCAGAUAUCAGGAAGAACACCUAUGGCGAAGGCAGCUCUCUGGGACGGUACUGACGCUGAGACGCGAAAGCGUGGGGAGCGAACAGG
rnacentral:rRNA from 1 species